rnacentral:rRNA from 1 species
AUUGAACGCUGGCGGCAUGCUUUACACAUGCAAGUCGAACGGUAACAGGCCUUCGGGUGCUGACGAGUGGCGCACGGGUGAGUAAUGCAUCGGAACGUACCCAGAGGUGGGGGAUAACGCAGCGAAAGCUGUGCUAAUACCGCAUGUGAUCUGAGGUUGAAAGCGGGGGACCGAGCAGCAAUGUUUGGCCUCGCGCCUUUGGAGCGGCCGAUGUCGGAUUAGCUAGUUGGUGGGGUAAAGGCCUACCAAGGCGACGAUACGUAGCUGGUCUGAGAGGACGACCAGCCACACUGGGACUGAGACACGGCCCAGACUCCUACGGGAGGCAGCAGUGGGGAAUUUUGGACAAUGGGCGCAAGCCUGAUCCAGCAAUGCCGCGUGCGGGAAGAAGGCCUUCGGGUUGUAAACCGCUUUUGGCAGGAACGAAACGGUGUCCGCUAAUACCGGGCGCUAAUGACGGUACCUGCAGAAUAAGCACCGGCUAACUACGUG